GACGAACGCUGGCGGCGUGCUUAACACAUGCAAGUCGAACGGGCCCGCCCCUGUUUUUGGGGGUGGGUUGAGUGGCGAACGGGUGAGUAUCACGUGAGUAACCUGCCCCCUGCUCCUGGAUAACUGCUUGAAAGGGCGGCUAAUACGGGGUGUGCCGGCUGGUCCGCAUGGGCCUGGUCGGGAUAGUUUCAUCUUCGGGUGUUUCGGUGGGGGAUGGGCUCGCGGCCUAUCAGCUUGUUGGUGGGGUGAUGGCCCACCAAGGCGGUGACGGGUAGCCGGCAUGAGAGGGUGGGCGGCCACACUGGGACUGGGACACGGCCCAGGGUCAUGCGGGAGGGAGCAGGGGGGGGUAUUGCACAAUGGGCGGAAGCCUGAGGCAGCGACGUCGCGUGAGGGAUGGGGGCCGUCGGGUGGGGAACCUCUUUCUCCGGGGGGGAAGGCCCUGUCCGUUGCGGCGGGGUUGACGGUAGCCGGGUAUGAAGCGCCGGCUAACUACGUG
rnacentral:rRNA from 1 species